rnacentral:rRNA from 1 species
AGUGAACGCUGGCGGUAGGCCUAACACAUGCAAGUCGAACGGCAGCACAGUAAGAGCUUGCUCUUACGGGUGGCGAGUGGCGGACGGGUGAGGAAUACAUCGGAAUCUACUUUUUCGUGGGGGAUAACGUAGGGAAACUUACGCUAAUACCGCAUACGACCUACGGGUGAAAGCAGGGGAUCUUCGGACUUUGCGCGAUUGAAUGAGCCGAUGUCGGAUUAGCUAGUUGGCGGGGUAAAGGCACACCAAGGCGACGAUCCGUAGCUGGUCUGAGAGGAUGAUCAGCCACACUGGAACUGAGACACGGUCCAGACUCCUACGGGAGGCAGCAGUGGGGAAUAUUGGACAAUGGGCGCAAGCCUGAUCCAGCCAUACCGCGUGGGUGAAGAAGGCCUUCGGGUUGUAAAGCCCUUUUGUUGGGAAAGAAAAGCAGCAGGUUAAUACCCCGCUGUUCUGACGGUACCCAAAGAAUAAGCACCGGCUAACUUCGUG